AUUCUGACAGGUUGUGAUAUUUAAAUGUAUGAGUCAACAUUCUGACAGGUUGUGAUAUUUAAGUGUAUGAGUCAACAUUCUGACAGGUUGUGAUAUUUAAGUGUAUGAGUCAACAUUCUGACAGGUUGUGAUAUUUAAGUGUAUGAGUCAACAUUCUGACAGGUUGUGAUAUUUAAGUGUAUGAGUCAACAUUCUGACAGGUUGUGAUAUUUAAGUGUAUGAGUCAACAUUCUGACAGGUUGUGAUAUUUAAGUGUAUGAGUCAACAUUCUGACAGGUUGUGAUAUUUAAGUGUAUGAGUCAACAUUCUGACAGGUUGUGAUAUUUAAGUGUAUGAGUCAACAUUCUGACAGGUUGUGAUAUUUAAG